AACGCGAAGAACCUUACCUGGGCUCGAAAUGUAGAGGACGUCAACAGAGAUGUUGAUUCUCGAAAGGGUCUUUAUAUAGGUGCUGCAUGGCUGUCGUCAGCUCGUGCCGUGAGGUGUUUGGUUAAGUCCAGCAACGAGCGCAACCCUUAUCGUUAGUUGCCAACAUUUAAGGUGGGAACUCUAACGAGACUGCCUGGGUUAACCAGGAGGAAGGUGAGGAUGACGUCAAGUCCGCAUGGCCUUUAUGUCCAGGGCUACACACGUGCUACAAUGGUCGGUACAGAAGGCAGCGAAACCGUAAGGCGAAGCAAAUCCUCUAAAACCGAUCUCAGUUCAGAUUGUAGUCUGCAACUCGGCUACAUGAAGUUGGAAUUGCUAGUAAUGGCGUGUCAGCAACAACGCCGUGAAUACGUUCCCGGGCCUUGUACACACCGGUACUA
rnacentral:rRNA from 1 species